GACUCAUUACGUUACUAAAGAUUUCUCAAGUAACAAACACCCAACAGCGAGUAGAGUGCCAAGAGAAAGGUAUUUUCAUAGGUGACUGACGGCUAUGGAAAUGUUUUUGUUCAAUCAAACCCCUUUCGCUCGUAGAAAAUUGGAAUCAGCUUCAAGACCGGAACAGGAGUACGUAGUCCAAGUACUAAAGAGUGAAUGAUAGAAUAUUGCCAUUUUGUAGCCCCUAAUGAAUUGAGAGAUCAAGCCAUUGAGCACCAGCCACUACUAACAUCACAAAAUGAAAGAUGAGACGUGUCUGUAGAACAUAAACAGGACUAUGAAAGAUGCAUAAUACAUUUUUACAAAUGAACUAUCGUAAUGCCUUGAGACAGCAUGGCCAUCUCUACCCUCCUGAGGCUCACCCAUGAAGUCAGCAUGACCAGCGGUAAGAACUCUUGGUUCACACUCAGAAAACAAGUCAGUUGGAAUUAGCUGGCCUGCACUGAGAACAUUUUCCAGGAAAUUCUAUUUCAUAAAUGUUGAAUAUAUACAAUGAUUCAAACAAAUUUCCAGAAUUGUUUUACAGCAGAUUCUAUAAUUACAACUUUUAAUGUAGUGAGGGAGUAAAGGAUUGGGGCAGUGGUGAAAAGUACUCACUAUAUUAUGAAAUCUAAUUUUAUUUAUCCUCUUGGAGUCUUAAAGUCAGCACUGUGUAACCCACUGGUUCUCAACCCUGACUGUACAUUGGACGAACCUGAAGCCAUUUUGGAAAACACUGAUGUUCAGGCUCCAUCCAGCCAUUUGGAUCAGAAUAUCUGAGGCAAAGGCAUUGGCCAGAUUUUUCAAGUUCCCCAAAUUAUUCUAAUCUACAGCCAGGGUUGAGAACACAAGUGUAAUCCUCUGUUCACCAGUUUUAUCAUGUGCAAAAUGGCAGUAAUGUCUUGUUUUAGCAGCAUCUCAGUUAUUGUGAAAGAUCAAUGAAAUGGUACAUGUGAAAGUAUGGGCAAGUAUAAUGUUUUAUGUAAAUAUAAGGUCAUAGUCUCAUGUUAGCAAUCAGUGUGUAGCAAUCCUUUCAAAAUGUUUACUUCUUGCACUGUUGGUUAUUUUGUUGCAGAUUAAAUAUGACCCAGGAUCAUACAAAUUCCUUGGUGACGAGUCAAGGGUAAUUAACUGCUUGUCAUCAGCUCAGAUAAAACUAGCACUGAUAUUGAGAAGCCUAAAGUAAUGAGUCUUUAAUUUACUUAAUUAUGAAAAUUAUAAUCAUUUACACAUAUAAGCAUUACAUAUAUAGAUGUCAUAGAAACAAAAUGCAAACUGUAGCUCAGGUUAAGUUUGGCUGCCCAAGGAAAAGAAGGAUGAAGGCUCGCAUUUAUUUAUCACCUUUUAUGAACUAGACACUUUUUUUUUUUAAGAUUU